CUGGAAUGGCUUAUGGUCUAAACAGUUUACUGCCAUGGGAUGGGACUGCGGCCUAUCAGCUUGUUGGUGAGGUAAUGGCCCACCAAGGCUAUAACAGGUACGGGCUCUGAGAGGAGAAGCCCGGAGAUGGGUACUGAGACACGGACCCAGGCCCUAUGGGGCGCAGCAGGCGAGAAACCUUAGCAAUGUGCGAAAGCACGACUGGGUCAGUCCGAGUGAUUCCUGAUAAAGGAGUCUUUUAUCUGUCCUAAAAGCACAGGUGAAUAAGGGGUGGGCAAGUCUGGUGUCAGCCGCCGCGGUAAUACCAGCACCUCGAGUGGUCAGGACGUUUAUUGGGCCUAAAGCAUCCGUAGCCGGCUUUGCAAGACUUCGGUUAAAUCCACCUGCUCAACAGAUGGGCUGCUGGAGAUACUACAAAGCUAGGGAGUGGGAGAGGCAGACGGUAUUCAGUGGGUAGGGGUAAAAUCCUCUGAUCCAUCGAGGACCACCAGUGGCGAAGGCGGUCUGCCAGAACACGUUCGACGGUGAGGGAUGAAAGCUGGGGGAGCAAACCGGAUUAGAUACCCGGGUAGUCCCAGCUGUAAACGAUGCAAACUCGGUGAUGCAUUGGCUUAUGGCCAAUGCAGUGCCGCAGGGAAGCCGUUAAGUUUGCCGCCUGGGAAGUACGGACGCAAGUCUGAAACUUAAAGGAAUUGGCGGGGGAGCACCACAAGGGGUGAAGCCUGCGGUUCAAUUGGACUCAACGCCGGU
rnacentral:rRNA from 1 species